rnacentral:misc_RNA from 1 species
AAGAGUAUAGAGGCUUCAUGCCUACUAACUCCACCCUUUGUUUACAUACCUUUGUUGCUUUGGCAGGCCCGUCGAAAGACAACCGGCUCCGGCUGGUCAGUGCCUGCCAGAGGACCUAAACUCAGAAUGUUAGUGUUGUCCGAGUACUAUAUAAUAGUUA